ACGCACGCUGGCGGCGUGCUUCACACAUGCAAGUCGAACGGAAAGGCCCUGCUUUUGUGGGGUGCUCGAGUGGCGAACGGGUGAGUAACACGUGAGUAACCUGCCCUUGACUUUGGGAUAACUUCAGGAAACUGGGGCUAAUACCGGAUAGGAGCUCCUGCUGCAUGGUGGGGGUUGGAAAGUUUCGGCGGUUGGGGAUGGACUCGCGGCUUAUCAGCUUGUUGGUGGGGUAGUUGCUUACCAAGGCUUUGACGGGUAGCCGGCCUGAGAGGGUGACCGGCCACAUUGGGACUGAGAUACGGCCCAGACUCCUACGGGAGGCAGCAGUGGGGAAUAUUGCACAAUGGGCGGAAGCCUGAUGCAGCAACGCCGCGUGCGGGAUGACGGCCUUCGGGUUGUAAACCGCUUUCGCCUGUGACGAAGCGUGAGUGACGGUAAUGGGUAAAGAAGCACCGGCUAACUACGUG
rnacentral:rRNA from 1 species